ACUUCAACCCACUAUAUUUGGUAUGCAAGCCACAUGCUCUACCUGGCUAAGAAGGCAAAGAAGCUGCUUUUGUGUCCUAUCAUGCAGCAUGGAGUAUGGAUUCUUAGUAUGGGUCAGAUAUGGUUCUACUUCUGGGUUCAAGCUGGAUCCAUGUGAGAAUACAGUUUAGUACCUGAAAAUUUAGUUCUGGAAGUGACACAUCCAAGCUUUUCCAGAUUCUGAUCAUGGAUAUCCAGACAGAGAGGAAAGGUUUCAGUGGAGGAAGCAGUGGUAAAUGAAUUUGACAUGAAGCCCCAUAACGACGACAUCGGAGACUAUGUAAAAAUUUGCUGUGAAAGGACAAACAAAUAUAUGACCAAAACCAGACAAGUGCAAGUAUAGUUAAUUGAUGAGAAGAAAACCGUGCCAGUGAAAGGAUCAGAGAAGAAAAGAACAAGAGACCGUGGAGAAAUGGAAGAGAAUAUGUUCAAGCUAUUUGAGAGGCAAUCAAAUUGGACACUGAGGCAAUUAAUCUAGGAGACAGACCAGCCUGAGUUUUAAGCUAUGGAGCUUAAUGCAGAAGGCCAUCAUGUGGAAUAUCUGAAGGGAAAGAAAAAUCGGAGUUCUCAAGGCUUUGCAGAAUAAGCAUAUUCUAUACACACACAGCAAUUUGUGAAAGAUCCUUUCGAACACCUUGUGUCUACAACAAGAAGGGAACAUAUCAAGGAACCGACAAGUUAAAUUCAGAAUAUAAGAGAUUAGGGAGCGGAUCUUGGCACAACAGUAAGGUUGCUCCAUUGCAAUCUAGUGGUUGCCGAUUUGAAUCGGAAAACAACCUCUCCACGACCCUCCCUAGACCCUGCAGUGGCAGAAUCCUCGUGCACUGGAUACGCCCCUUUAGGUGAGGAAGCAGAUCCGAAGUAAAUUGGGUAGAGUAAAUGCUGCAUACUGAGAAAAAUACCAUGAGAGUGACCAUUCUAUUUAUUUCUUCAAAGACUCAAUCUCCAUUGGUGGACUGAAAUACAGAAGUAGAAAGGUGAUUUUAAUUAUGUCUUCCUUGGGUCUCUUCUUCUCAUGUUCACUUCAGGGUUUAAUUUGUAGCCAAACAGCCAUUGACUGUCUUUAAACAAUACAAUCUUGUAACCAUUGUACAUUGACAGGAAAAAUAGAGAUCAGGAUACAUCUGGCGGUGAUUCACUUUCAA